UACAGAGGGUGCAAGCGUUGUUCGGAAUUACUGGGCGUAAAGCGCGUGUAGGCGGCCUAUUAAGUCAGAUGUGAAAUCCCUUGGCUCAACCAAGGAACUGCAUCUGAUACUGGUAGGCUUGAGUGUCGGAGGGGAUGGUAGAAUUCCUGGUGUAGAGGUGAAAUUCGUAGAUAUCAGGAGGAAUACCUGUGGCGAAGGCGACCAUCUGGAAGACAACUGACGCUGAGACGCGAAAGCGUGGGUAGCAAACAGG
rnacentral:rRNA from 1 species